AAGUGAAGCAGAGGACAGUGGCGGACGGGUGAGUAACGCGUGAGGAACCUGCCUUUCAGAGGGGGACAACAGUUAGAAAUGACUGCUAAUACCGCAUAAGCGCACAGCAUCGCAUGAUGCAGUGUGAAAAACUCCGGUGGUGUGAGAUGGAUCCGCGUCUGAUUAGCCAGUUGGCGGGGUAACGGCCCACCAAAGCGACGAUCAGUAGCCGACCUGAGAGGGUGACCGGCCACAUUGGGACUGAGACACGGCCCAAACUCC
rnacentral:rRNA from 1 species